rnacentral:tRNA from 1 species
GGUGGGUUGGCUCAGUGGUUAGAGCUUUUGUCUCGUAACCGAAAGGUCGCGGGAUCGAAUCCCCUUAGAGGUUG